rnacentral:SRP_RNA from 1 species
GUCAGGCAUUCUAGUCUGUGCCUAUAGACCCAGCUACUCAGGAGGCUGAGGCAGGAGGAUCACUUGAGUCCAGUAGUUCUGCGCUAUAGUGCUUUAUGCUGAUUGGGUCUCCACAAUAAAUUCUGAAUCAACAUAGUGACCUCCCACCUCCCAGGAGUCGGGGACCAUAGGUUGCCUAAGAAGGGGUGAACUGGCCCAGGUCAGAAAUGGGGCAGGUCAAAACUCCAGUACUGAUCAGUAGUGGGAUUGUAUUUGUGAGUAGCCAUUGCACUCCAGCCUGAGCAACAUAGUGAGACCUCAUUUCUA